CAGCAAAGACUGAAGCAGACUCCAUGCUCUUCUCAGAUGACGUUUUCACCAUUGAGCCCUUGGAGGGAGAGGUUGGGCCACAUUGUUCAGCUGAAAUCAAGGUGUUCUUUAAACCCCGAGAAGCCCAAGUCUACAGAAAAGUGGCCUACUGUUCCAUCUCAGGCCGUGAGACCAGGCUGCCCCUGCACCUCACAGGGGAAGGCCUCGAGCCCUGCCUCCAACUCAGCUCUGAGGAACUGGACAUGGGGAAAGUUUUGGUUGGAGAAGCCUACAGCUACGAGGUGAGCAGCAGGGGCUGGGGU